GAGUUUGAUCUUGGCUCAGAUUGAACGCUGGCGGCAUGCCUUACACAUGCAAGUCGAACGGCAGCACGGGAGCUUGCUCCUGGUGGCGAGUGGCGAACGGGUGAGUAAUGCAUCGGAACGUAUCCUGGAGUGGGGGAUAACGUAGCGAAAGUUACGCUAAUACCGCAUAUUCUGUGAGCAGGAAAGCGGGGGACCUUCGGGCCUCGCGCUCUUGGAGCGGCCGAUGUCGGAUUAGCUAGUUGGUGAGGUAAAGGCUCACCAAGGCGACGAUCCGUAGCAGGUCUGAGAGGAUGAUCUGCCACACUGGAACUGAGACACGGUCCAGACUCCCACGGGAGGCAGCAGUGGGGAUUUUGGACAAUGGGGGCAACCCGUGAUCCAGCCAUGCCGCGUGAGUGAAGAAGGCC
rnacentral:rRNA from 1 species